rnacentral:rRNA from 1 species
GACGAACGCUGGCGGCGUGCUUAACACAUGCAAGUCGAGCGGUAAGGCCCUUUCGGGGUACGACGAGCGGCGAACGGGUGAGUAACACGUGGGUGACCUGCCCUCCAGCUCUGGGAUAAGCCUGGGAAACCGGGUCUAAUACCGGAUAUGACUCCAUGACGCAUGUUGUGGGGUGGAAAGCCUUGUGCGGCUGAGGAUGGGCCCGCGGCCUAUCAGCUUGUUGGUGGGGUGAUGGCCUACCAAGGCGACGACGGGUAGCCGGCCUGAGAGGGCGACCGGCCACACUGGGACUGAGACACGGCCCAGACUCCUACGGGAGGCAGCAGGUGGGGAAUCUUGCGCAAUGGGCGAAAGCCUGACGCAGCGACGCCGCGUGAGGGAUGACGGCCUGG